rnacentral:rRNA from 41 species
UCGAAUCCUGCCUAGCAGAAUGACCAGAGAA